UCCUACGGGGGGCAGCAGUAGGGAAUUUUCGACAAUGGGCGCAAGCCUGAACGAGCGAUGCCGCGUGAGUGAAGAAGGCCUUCGGGUCGUAAAGCUCUGUUGCGGGGGAAAAAAGGCAGCAUCAGGAAAUGGGUGCUGACUGAUGGUGCCCCGCCAGAAAGUCACGGCUAACUACGUGCCAGCAGCCGCGGUAAUACGUAGGUGGCGAGCGUUAUCCGGAAUGAUUGGGCGUAAAGGGUGCGCAGGCGGUCCUGCAAGUCUGGUGUGAAACCCUUGAGCUUAAC
rnacentral:rRNA from 1 species